UCUAAGGUUUGAUGGCGACCGGCGCACGGGUGAGUAACACGUAUCCAACCUGCCGAUGACUCGGGGAUAGCCUUUCGAAAGAAAGAUUAAUACCCGAUGGCAUAGUUCUUCCGCAUGGUAGAACUAUUAAAGAAUUUCGGUUAUCGAUGGGGAUGCGUUCCAUUAGGCAGUUGGUGGGGUAAUGGCCCACCAAACCUUCGAUGGAUAGGGGUUCUGAGAGGAAGGUCCCCCACAUUGGAACUGAGACACGGUCCAAACUCCUACGGGAGGCAGCAUG
rnacentral:rRNA from 1 species